AGGGUGCAAGCGUUAUCCGGAUUUACUGGGUUUAAAGGGUGUGUAGGCGGGCUUUUAAGUCUGGGGUGAAAUCUCCGAGCUCAACUCGGAAACUGCCUUGGAUACUAUUAGUCUUGAAUUAUGUUGAGGUUGGCGGAAUAUAACAUGUAGCGGUGAAAUGCAUAGAUAUGUUAUAGAACACCGAUUGCGAAGGCAGCUAACUAAGCAUAUAUUGACGCUGAGGCACGAAAGCGUGGGGAUCAAACAGG
rnacentral:rRNA from 1 species